AAUCAACGCUGGCGGCGUGCCUCAGACAUGCAAGUCGAACGAUUAAAGCUCCCUUCGGGAGUGCAUAGAGUGGCGCACGGGUGAGUAACACGUAAGUAAUCUACCUUUGAGUGGGAAUAACGUUCGGAACGGACGCUAAUACCGCAUAAUGCAGCGGCAUCGCAAGAUGACAGUUGUUAAAGGAGCAAUCCGCUUAAAGAGGAGCUUGCGGCAGAUUAGCUUGUUGGUAAGGUAACGGCUUACCAAGGCUACGAUCUGUAUCCGGUCUAAGAGGACGGUCGGACACACUGACACUGAAUAACGGGUCAGACUCCUACGGGAGGCAGCAGUCGGGAA
rnacentral:rRNA from 1 species